GGGCCAGGAAGGUUAGUUCUGUGGAGAAGUUUUACUAGGAUGUGUUUCACCGGAUCAUUCGGGAUCGGUGUCUCCUGGUACCCACCAGGUCCUUUCAAAUAUGUAGAUUUACAUCGUUUACCUCUGGAAUGUUUUCCAGGAUGAUAGUUUUAAAUGUUAGUUCUGUUACGUCGUUAUAAUUUUCUUCUUUAGGGACACCAAUUAUACACACUGUGAAGGAGAUACAACUUCCCUGAGGACCAAAAUGAAUUUUUAACAAAGCAAGGACACAGCAGAGGGGAAACAGCAAACGUAACAUAGGCACACAAAAAGAGCAGAGGGUCUCUUGUUUCCAUGUUCUUCAGCUGGGACCACAGGCAUGAAGAAAUAUUCUGGAUGAGAGACAGAUGAUUUGAGUUUUCGUUCUGCCACAGACAUGAGUGAUCCUGGGCAAGUCGCGGAACCAUCCUGAAUGUGGAAGUGAAAUUGGUAAAGCAGGGCUAAAAUCCAGACAAGUGGGGCUCAAUAAAGUAAUGCUGAGUUGGAACGGGCUUUGUGAGGUACAAAGUUUCACCUGACGCCCCGCCAGGCUAGAAGGCAGGAGCUCAGUCUCUGCUUGUUCAACAUUUCUGAGGACCUACUGAGUUGUCCUUCCCUGGGCCCUGGGCAUGCAGAAAGAAGAAGGCAUAUCUCCCGCCUUGAGGGGAUCACAGCCACAUGCGGAGGACAGCCAUGCAAACAAGCAAACCCAGUGCUGCUUCCCGCCCUCCCGACUCCUUACUGCAGGGUGUCCUCGUCAAGUGACAUUUCUUCUGCGACUGUAUGUCUCCGCUCAGAGACCCCAUGCAACGCUUCAGAUGAAAAGCCUUUAAAUUCCAGCGUCACGUUAUCAAUCCUUAUG
rnacentral:lncRNA from 1 species